rnacentral:rRNA from 1 species
CAGUCGAGCGAGCUUGCCUAGAUGAUUUUAGUGCUUGCACUAAAUGAAACUAGAUACAAGCGAGCGGCGGACGGGUGAGUAACACGUGGGUAACCUGCCCAAGAGACUGGGAUAACACCUGGAAACAGAUGCUAAUACCGGAUAACAACACUAGACGUAUGUCUAGAGUUUGAAAGAUGGUUCUGCUAUCACUCUUGGAUGGACCUGCGGUGCAUUAGCUAGUUGGUAAGGUAACGGCUUACCAAGGCAAUGAUGCAUAGCCGAGUUGAGAGACUGAUCGGCCACAUUGGGACUGAGACACGGCCCAAACUCCUACGGGAGGCAGCAGUAGGGAAUCUUCCACAAUGGACGAAAGUCUGAUGGAGCAACGCCGCGUGAGUGAAGAAGGGUUUCGGCUCGUAAAGCUCUGUUGGUAGUGAAGAAAGAUAGAGGUAGUAACUGGCCUUUAUUUGACGGUAAUUACUUAGAAAGUCACGGCUAACUACGUGCCAGCAGCCGCGGUAAUACGUAGGUGGCAAGCGUUGUCCGGAUUUAUUGGGCGUAAAGCGAGUGCAGGCGGUUCAAUAAGUCUGAUGUGAAAGCCUUCGGCUCAACCGGAGAAUUGCAUCAGAAACUGUUGAACUUGAGUGCAGAAGAGGAGAGUGGAACUCCAUGUGUAGCGGUGGAAUGCGUAGAUAUAUGGAAGAACACCAGUGGCGAAGGCGGCUCUCUGGUCUGCAACUGACGCUGAGGCUCGAAAGCAUGGGUAGCGAACAGGAUUAGAUACCCUGGUAGUCCAUGCCGUANACGAUGAGUGCUAAGUGUUGGGAGNUUUCCGCCUCUCAGUGCUGCAGCUAACGCAUUAAGCAC